AUACGGAGUGUGCAAGCGUUACUCGGAAUCACUGGGCAUAAAGAGCACGUAGGCGGGAAGAUGUGUCGGUGGUGAAAGCCCCCAGCUCAACUGGGGAACUGCCUCCGAAACUGUCUUUCUUGAGGCCGAGAGGGGUGAGUGGAACUUCUGGCGGAGCGGUGAAAUGCGUAGAUUUCAGAAGGAACACCGGUGGCGAAAGCGACUCACUGGCUCGGUUCUGACGCUGAGGUGCGAAAGCGUGGGUAGCAAACAGGAUUAGAAACCCCGGUAGUCC
rnacentral:rRNA from 1 species